rnacentral:rRNA from 1 species
UUUUUUAGAAAUGAAUUUAAUUCAUGCAUCUUAUUUAAUUUCUGUUUUUAUCUAUUUAUUUUUAUUUGAUGUUAAAAUUAAGGGGGAUUAGCUCCUUAUUCUAUUUUUAUAAUUUUUUGUUUAAUUUAGUUUUGUGGAUUUUAUAGUGAUUUUCAAUUUGAUUAUGUUAAAAUUUUAUUUGUAUUUUUGUUUCUUUUAGUUUGUGAUUUAAAGUUUUUAUUGGAAUGUUUGUUUUAGUUUGUGAUUGUGUGGUAAUUAUUGUGUAAUUAGUAAAUCUUGUUUAAUUGUGUUGUAUGUAUGGUAUGGUAAUUUUCUUUGAGGAAUUAGGCAAAAAUGUUGUGUCCGCCUGUUUAACAAAAACAUCUUUUCUUGUUAGUUUUUGAAGUAUGGCCUGCCCGCUGACUUUGGUUGAAGGGCCGCGGUAUUUUGACCGUGCAAAGGUAGCAUAAUCAUUAGUUCUUUAAUUGUGAUCUGGUAUGAAUGGCUUGACGAGAUACGAGCUGUCUUAGGGGUAUUUUUUGUUGAAUUUAGUUUUUGAGUUAAAAUUCUUAAAUGUUUUUAUGGGACGAGAAGACCCUAUAGAGUUUGACAUAUUGCUUUGCUUAUAUUUUUUGUUUGUUUUAAAGGUUUGGUUGGAGUUGUAUGUUUUGUUGGGGUGAUGGGAGGUAUUUUCUUAACUCCUCUUUGCUUUAGUAUAUAUUUAUUUAUAUUUGUUUGAUCC